rnacentral:rRNA from 1 species
AGACCCGAAACCCGGUGAUCUAGCCAUGGGCAGGUUGAAGGUUGGGUAACACUAACUGGAGGACCGAACCGACUAAUGUUGAAAAAUUAGCGGAUGACCUGUGGCUGGGGGUGAAAGGCCAAUCAAACCGGGAGAUAGCUGGUUCUCCCCGAAAGCUAUUUAGGUAGCGCCUCGUGAAUUCAUCUCCGGGGGUAGAGCACUGUUUCGGCUAGGGGGCCAUCCCGGCUUACCAACCCGAUGCAAACUGCGAAUACCGGAGAAUGUUAUCACGGGAGACACACGGCGGGUGCUAACGUCCGUCGUGAAGAGGGAAACAACCCAGACCGCCAGCUAAGGUCCCAAAGUCAUGGUUAAGUGGGAAACGAUGUGGGAAGGCCCAGACAGCCAGGAUGUUGGCUUAGAAGCAGCCAUCAUUUAAAGAAAGCGUAAUAGCUCACUGGUCGAGUCGGCCUGCGCGGAAGAUGUAACGGGGCUAAACCAUGCACCGAAGCUGCGGCAGCGACACUGUGUGUUGUUGGGUAGGGGAGCGUUCUGUAAGCCUGCGAA